AAAAGCUCAAAUUUGAAAUCUGGCGUCUUUGGCGUCCGAGUUGUAAUUUGAAGAAGGUAUCUUUGGGCCCGGCUCUUGUCUAUGUUCCUUGGAACAGGACGUCACAGAGGGUGAGAAUCCCGUGCGAUGAGAUGACCCGGGUCUGUGUAAAGUUCCUUCGACGAGUCGAGUUGUUUGGGAAUGCAGCUCUAAGUGGGUGGUAAAUUCCAUCUAAAGCUAAAUAUUGGCGAGAGACCGAUAGCGAACAAGUACAGUGAUGGAAAGAUGAAAAGAACUUUGAAAAGAGAGUGAAAAAGUACGUGAAAUUGUUGAAAGGGAAGGGCUUGAGAUCAGACUUGGUAUUUUGCAUGUUGCUCUCUCGGGGGCGGCCGCUGCGGUUUACCGGGCCAGCAUCGGUUUGGAGCGGCAGGAUAAUGGCGGAGGAAUGUGGCACGGCUUCUGCUGUGUGUUAUAGCCUCUGACGAUACUGCCAGCCUAGACCGAGGACUGCGGUUUUUAACCUAGGAUGUUGGCAUAAUGAUCUUAAGUCGCCCGUCUUGAAACACGGACCAAGGAGUCUAACGUCUAUGCGAGUGUUUGGGUGUAAAACCCGUACGCGUAAUGAAAGUGAACGAAGGUGGGGGCCCAUUAGGGUGCACCAUCGACCGAUCCUGAUGUGUUCGGAUGGAUUUGAGUAAGAGCAUAGCUGUUGGGACCCGAAAGAUGGUGAACUAUGCCUGAAUAGGGUGAAGCCAGAGGAAACUCUGGUGGAGGCUCGUAGC
rnacentral:rRNA from 1 species